rnacentral:rRNA from 1 species
GACGAACGCUGGCGGCGUGCUUAACACAUGCAAGUCGAACGAAGAGCGGUGGAGGCUUGCUUCUAUCAAUCUUAGUGGCGAACGUGUGAGUAACGCGGAAACAACCUGCCCUUCAGUGGGGUACAACAGUUGGAAACGACUUCUAAUACGGCAUACUAUCUAAUCUCGUGAUCGAGUAUAGAAGAAAGGUUUCCCCUACAUGUAAGCUAUCACUGAAGCAGGGUAUUGCGUCUGAUUAGCUAGUUGGAGGGGUAACGGACCACCAAGGCGAUGAAUAAUAGCCGGACCGAGAGGAUGAACCGGCAACACGGGACCGGGACACGGCCCAGAAUCCUAAGGGAGGCAGCAGUGGGGAAUCCUCCGGAAUGGACGGAAGUCUGAACGGGCAACGCCGGGUGGGGGAUGAAGGCCUUCGGGUUGUAAAGAUCCGUUAAUCGGGAAGAAAGGAAUUCUUGAGAAUCGUGAGAAGGAUUGACGGUACCGGAACAGAAAGCCACGGCUAACUACGUG